AUCUCCGUUAUAACUGCACAGAUGUUCAGUGUAAUAAAGAAGAUGAGAGAUUCAGAGACAGACUGAAGCUGGAUCAUCAAUCUGGUGAUCUUACGAUCACAAACACCAGCACCUCAGAUAGUGGAGUGUAUCAACUACAGACCUUCAGCAGCAGACACACUGGAAACACUUUCAAAGUUGUUGUAAAGGAUGUUGCUGCUGAAGUGAAGAGAAAGUCAGUGAAGGAGGGAGAAUCUGUCACUUUAGACACUCCUGGAGUAAAAAAUCCAAAUGAUGUGAGGACGUGGUGUUUUAAUGACUCUCUCAUCGCUGAAAUCACUGGAGAACAGACUCACAUCUGUACAGAUGUUCACUGUGAUGAGAGAUUCAGAGACAGACUGGAGCUGGAUCAUCAGACUGGAUCUGCUGACCAUCACAAACACCAGAACCACAGACUCUGGACUUUUAUAAACUAAAGAUCAAAUCCAGCAGAAACAACUACUACACUGUCACCAGCAUUAAGAGCUUCACUCUUUCUGUGACUGAUUCAGGUGUGUCUUCAGCUGUUAAGCAGGGAUAUAUGUGUCUGUUGUUGUGCUGAUGGCUGCAGCUGCAGCUGCUGCAGUGAUUUACUCACUGAAUCUCCUCAGGAGCUCCGUGAAGG